GCAGCAGUGGGGAAUAUUGGACAAUGGGCGAAAGCCUGAUCCAGCCAUGCCGCGUGUGUGAAGAAGGCCUUUUGGUUGUAAAGCACUUUAAGCGAGGAGGAGGCUACUUAGAUUAAUACUCUAGGAUAGUGGACGUUACUCGCAGAAUAAGCACCGGCUAACUCUGUGCCAGCAGCCGCGGUAAUACAGAGGGUGCGAGCGUUAAUCGGAUUUACUGGGCGUAAAGCGUGCGUAGGCGGCUUUUUAAGUCGGAUGUGAAAUCCCUGAGCUUAACUUAGGAAUUGCAUUCGAUACUGGGAAGCUAGAGUAUGGGAGAGGAUGGUAGAAUUCCAGGUGUAGCGGUGAAAUGCGUAGAGAUCUGGAGGAAUACCGAUGGCGAAGGCAGCCAUCUGGCCUAAUACUGACGCUGAGGUACGAAAGCAUGGGGAGCAAACAGGAUUAGAUACCCUGGUAGUCCAUGCCGUAAACGAUGUCUACUAGCCGUUGGGGCCUUU
rnacentral:rRNA from 1 species